UGAGCUCACCACACGUUGGGUGAGGAAGGGAGGAGACCUGAGCUGGUCUGUGUGUGGCAUGCUAGUUACAGUGAGGAGGGAGACAAGUGGGUGUCCAAGGAAGAACUUUGGUUCAAGCUUGGAGUGGAACAGUCAAUGGAAGCAGGCAGCAUACUGUUGAUUUACUAAGCCCAGAGUUUAAUCUAGAACGACAGAUCGACCCCUGGCAAGUACAUCAAAGCAGCAAGGAUGCCGCCUGGAAUCAGGAGGGGAAAGCACUGUUUUUCAGGGAGAAGUCUCUCAGAAAGCCAAAGUGAAAGAUCCCAGCUCAAAAGACACCAACUGAGCACAGAUGUGCCCUGGAAUCAGGCCCUGGGAUGAAGGGCUCUGGACACAGGAUGGAUUUCACAAUGCCCCCCGAAAGCAGUGUGGAGAAUGCACAGGCCUGGAAGAUGGAAAGGUUCAAAGUUUUGGCCUCUGUGCUAAUCACAUGGCUGAGGAAAACAAAGUCUAUCCUGACUAUGUAGAUGAAGUUGAGCCCUGACUCUUCAAGGGGCACAUUGCCACACACUGGACCUACAACUCAGAAGAUGCAGAGGGGAUAAGUAUGUACACGUAUGGGACUGUCUUAAGAAGAAAACUGACUUUGCCCUUGCAUACCUUAGAAAUAUUGGGGCCAUU